AUCUGUGACCACGCCUCGGCAGUGCUAGUCACACCUCCAAGUUUUGCCAGCUCCUCCCCCUCAUUCCGGGCCUCUCGGGAUCAGCUCUUCCUAUUGGCUAUGGGCCCCAUCGGUCGAUAGAAAACGGGCGGUGAUUGGCAAGUGAACCGGAGCAAACGACUUCCGAUCCAGUCUGCGCUGUUGCGGCUCCCGUUUGGGAUUUGAUUUGCAGCAUCUUUGAGCCUCUACGACAAAAAACCGCGAAGCACGCCCAGCCCUCCCCCGGCACCCCGAAAAGCACCCACUCCCUCCCGGGGACACAGCUGGGCGCGUCCACACCCCCGCAGCCCCACACCAUGUUGUGCGGAAGGACUUCCACUCCCCGCCUGUGUCGUUGAUGUCAGACCCCAGGCCAGCCUCCGGGCGCUGCAGUUCUCCCGGCUAAUGCUGAGGCUGCGGCUCCGGCUCUAGCACAGGCACCAGCCGCCGCCGCACCCGGCCCCAGCGCCCACCGUCUGCAUGUGCCCGCCGUAGCCGUCUGCCCAGCCCGCAGCCCGCG
rnacentral:lncRNA from 1 species